rnacentral:rRNA from 1 species
UGCGUAGGUGGUUUCUUAAGUCAGAGGUGAAAGGCUACGGCUCAACCGUAGUAAGCCUUUGAAACUGGGAAACUUGAGUGCAGGAGAGGAGAGUGGAAUUCCUAGUGUAGCGGUGAAAUGCGUAGAUAUAUGGAGGAACACCGGAGGCGAAAGCGGCUCUCUGGCCUGUAACUGACACUGAGGCUCGAAAGCGUGGGGAGCAAACAG